UACGGGAGGCAGCAGGUGGGGAAUAUUGCACAAUGGGCGAAAGCCUGAUGCAGCUAUGCCGCGUGUAUGAAGAAGGCCUUAGGGUUGUAAAGUACUUUCAUCGGGGAGGAAAAACAAAACUAAUAAUUUUAUUUCUUGACGUUACCCGAAAAAGAAGCACCGGCUAACUCCGUGCCAGCAGCCGCGGUAAUACGGAGGGUGCUAGCGUUAAUCAGAAUUACUGGGCGUAAAGAGCACGUAGGUGGUUUUUUUAAAGUCAGAUGUGAAAUCCCUGGGCUUAACCUAGGAACUGCAUUUUGAAACUGAAAUACUAGAGUAUCGUAGAGGGAGGUAGAAUUCUAGGUGUAGCGGUGAAAUGCGUAGAUAUCUGGAGGAAUACCUGUGGCGAAAGCGGCCUCCUAAACGAAUACUGACACUGAGGUGCGAAAGCGUGGGGAGCAAACAGGGAUUAGAUACC
rnacentral:rRNA from 1 species